rnacentral:lncRNA from 1 species
AAUAUAUUUUGAAAUAUUGAAAAAGGAAAUAAUUAUUUCGGGUUCAAAUUUUCGGGUUCGGGUUCGGGUUCGGGUUUUGGAUUUUUUGUCGGGUUCGGGUUUGGAUAUGGAUUUUUAAAAUCCGUCUUGUUCAGGUUUGGGUUCGGGUCUCGGGUUUGGAGUCGGGCUCGGGUUGGGGUUUUAAAAAUCCGUCCCGAAUCCGACCCGUUGACAUCUCUAAUUAGGUGCAAGUAAAAAUUUCUCCCCUUUUUUAUGGAAUUAUAAAUGCAC